AACGAACGCUGGCGGCAUGCCUAACACAUGCCAGUCGAACGAGACCUUCGGGUAGAGUGGCGCACGGGUGCGUAACGCGUGGGAACCUGCCCUUAGGUUCGGAAUAACUCCCCGAAAGGGGUGCUAAUACCGGAUAAUGUCUUCGGACCAAAGAUUUAUCGCCUUUGGAUGGGCCCGCGUUGGAUUAGCUAGUUGGUAGGGUAAAAGCCUACCAAGGCGACGAUCCAUAGCUGGUCUGAGAGGAUGAUCAGCCACACUGGGACUGAGACACGGCCCAGACUCGUACGGGAGGCAGCAGUGGGGAAUAUUGGACAAUGGGCGAAAGCCUAAUCCAGCAAUGCCGCGUGAGUGAUGAAGGCCUUAGGGUUGUAAAGCUCUUUUACCCGGGAUGAUAAUGACAGUACCGGGAGAAUAAGCACCGGCUAACUCCGUG
rnacentral:rRNA from 1 species